CCUUCUGAUGUUCAGAUGUGUUCGGAGUUUC
rnacentral:piRNA from 1 species